CUCCAGCAAAUCCCCAAAUUCUUAAAUCCGCAUUCCUUCGUCUCCAGCCUCUUCCUCUCUUUCGCACUCCCGCCUUCGUCUCCCUCUCUUAUACUCCUGCCGUUGCCGCCUCCUCGCUGCCUCUACGUCACCGUCGCCUCCAGAUCCAUUGCCUACUGGUCGUCGCCUCCACUGCCUCAACGCCGCCGCCGCCUAGAGCUCCAUUGCAGCCUCCUCGCUGCCUCCAGUUCCGUCGCUGAUCAGAGAGAAAUUUUAGAGCACGGCUGUAGCAACAAUUUCAGUGAAGCUGAAAAGGAGCAGAUCCAAAAAUCUAAGGUGGUGUUCUUUUUGUGUUUUAGUUUUGUGUUUUGAGUUUUGAAUUCAUUUUGAGUUUUGUGCUUUGAGUAUCUGUUUUGAAAUUUUUGAAAAUGCGUCAUUUUUGUUAUUCUGAAAAAUUAUUUUUCAAAACAGAAAAUUAGAAAACAUGUUUAUUUUGAAAAUUUAAAAAUAGUUUCUUUUUUUGUUAUUAUGAUAUUUAAUUUAAUAAAUUUAAUUUAAAAUAAAUAAUAAAUAUUUAUUAAUAAAUUAUAAAUUUGAUUCAAAUACUUUAAACUAUAAAAUAAAAUUCAAAAAAAAAAAAAAAAUCAACAA